CACUAUGCCUAGCCCUAAACAAAGAUGCCCUUAUACACUCCACAUCCGCCCGGGUACUACGAGCAUUAGCUUAAAACCCAAAGGACUUGGCGGUGCUUUAAAACCACCUAGAGGAGCCUGUUCUAGAACCGAUAACCCCCGUUAAACCUCACCCCUUCUUGUUUAACCCGCCUAUAUACCACCGUCGUCAGCCUACCCUGUGAAGGACUAAUAGUAGGCAAAGUUGGUACAACCCAAAACGUCAGGUCGAGGUGUAGCGCAUGGAGGGGGAAGAAAUGGGCUACAUUCUCUAUCUAGAGAACCACGAAUGACACAAUGAAACACAUGUCUGAAGGAGGAUUUAGCAGUAAGUUAAGAAACAGAGUGUCUUACUGAAACCGGCCAUGAAGCGCGCACACACCGCCCGUCACUCUCCCCAAACAAAACCAAACAAUAAUUAAUACAAUAUUAUACACAAAGGGGAGGCAAGUCGUAA
rnacentral:rRNA from 1 species